GUUCCGGAGCAGAAAGUCUCAGCAGCCAAAGAAGGGAGUCGGGGCUGCGCCUGCGCACUGCGGCCGCAUUCCACCUCCCCUUACCAGGAAAGAUCCCCAAACCACAACUGUGAGCGGUCCAGGAGCAGAGAGUGCCCAGUCUCCAUAUCCUGGUGAAGAAGAUUCCCAUCCUCAAAGCAGAAGCCCCCGCCCUGGCCACCCAGGCUGCCUCCCCUCUCCCGGAUCAGUACCCAACGGCUAAGGGGAAGGAGGGAGAAAAGGAAGAAGACAAACCAGAGUCCCCAUGGCCUCGGCGGCUACUGCUCUUGCCACCGACCCACUCUACUGGAGCCAGAGGGAGGCAGAAGCUCAGGCUGCAGCACUGCACAUGACAACAGGUGGAUCCCCCCUUUUGACAGAGAAGGAAACUGAGGCAGAGGGCAGCAGCUGACAGCCCAGGCCCCCCUCUCAAGUUCCCCUCCUCCAGGGAUCUCUUAACAUCCUGCCACUCCUUCUGCUUUGAGGGGAUCCCAGGUGCUCCCCAAACGAGGGGUCAACCCCAUCCCCACUAAUGGCACAUUGGGCAAGUGUAAGGUAAGGCCUGCUGGCCCUGGUCAGAGGACAUGUUUCACUGUCCACACUGAGCUCACUUUCCCUACAAACACUGUCUGUAACUUCACUUUGGGACCACUGAGGUACAUUUAUUGGUCCAUUGAUUAAUAAAUAAAUCUUGGCUCCAUUUCACUGAA